rnacentral:rRNA from 1 species
GGCGGACGGGUGAGUAAUACGUGGGAAUCUGCCUAUAGGUGGGGGAUAGCCCGGAGAAAUCCGGAUUAAUACCGCAUAAUACCUGAGGGUUAAAACGGAGGAUCGCAAGACUUCGUGCCUAUAGAUGAGCCCNNNNCAGAUUAGCUAGUUGGUAGGGUAAAGGCCUACCAAGGCGACGAUCUGUAGCUGGCCUGAGAGGGUGGCCAGCCACACUGGAACUGAGACACGGUCCAGACUCCUACGGGAGGCAGCAGUGGGGAAUAUUGGACAAUGGGCGCAAGCCUGAUCCAGCCAUGCCGCGUGUGUGAAGAAGGCCUUCGGGUUGUAAAGCACUUUAAGUUGGGAGGAAGGUUGCUUGGCUAAUAUCCAAGUGAAUUGACGUUACCAACAGAAUAAGCACCGGCUAAUUCCGUGCCAGCAGCCGCGGUAAUACGGAAGGUGCGAGCGUUAAUCGGAAUUACUGGGCGUAAAGCGCACGUAGGCGGUUACUUAAGUCGGGUGUGAAAGCCCUGGGCUUAACCUGGGA